rnacentral:rRNA from 1 species
AGGGCACCACCAGGAGUGGAGCCUGCGGCUUAAUUUGACUCAACACGGGAAAUCUCACCAGGCCCGGACACCGGAAGGAUUGACAGAUUGAGAGCUCUUUCUUGAUUCGGUGGGUGGUGGUGCAUGGCCGUUCUUAGUUGGUGGAGCGAUUUGUCUGGUUAAUUCCGAUAACGAACGAGACUCUGGCCUAUUAACUAGACGUUAGAUCCUUUAUGGGUUUGACGAUGCUUCUUAGAGGGACGGGCGGCUUUUAGCCGCACGAGAAUGAGCAAUAACAGGUCUGUGAUGCCCUUAGAUGUUCUGGGCUGCACGCGCGCUACACUGAAGAAAUCAGCGUGUGUUCCCCAUCCGAAAAGAUUGGGAAACCCGUUGAACCUUCUUCGUGAUGGGGAUUGGGAUUGCAAUUAAUCCCCAAUGAACGAGGAAUUCCCAGUAGGCGCGAGUCAUAAGCUGCGUCGAUACGUCCCUGCCCUUUGUACACACGCCGUUGCUCUACGGAUCGAGUAAUUUAGGGAGACU